rnacentral:rRNA from 1 species
UACAGAGGUCUCAAGCGUUGUUCGGAUUCAUUGGGCGUAAAGCGCGCGUAGGCGGCCCGGUAAGUCCGCUGUGAAAGUCCAGGGCUCAACCCUGGAAAGCCGGUGGAUACUGCCGGGCUAGAGUGCGGAAGAGGCGAGUGGAAUUCCUGGUGUAGCGGUGAAAUGCGCAGAUAUCAGGAGGAACACCUAUUGCGAAGGCAGCUCGCUGGGACGUAACUGACGCUGAGACGCGAAAGCGUGGGGAGCAAACAGG